rnacentral:lncRNA from 1 species
GGGGAAACCCGAGCUCCCAACAAAACAGUUCCAUCUUUGGCUAGGCCUUUGGUAUUUCAAGGCGCUGCCAGUGGGGAGAGAUGCCGCGUGCCUGAGAGGCUCUGGCACCAAAGAAGGCCCAGAGAGGUUUAACAACUUCCUCAGAAUCACACAGCUUCCAAACGGUUGGGUUGGGUUUACAUUUAGGCAGUCUUGCUCCAGAGCCAGUGCUCCUAACCUUUGCAAGCCACGAACCUCAACAAAGUGGAGAAGGAAACGCUGGGAAAUUUGGAAGUCAGACAUGCCUAGUGUAUCUCCCGGGAGCUGACUUCAUUUCUAAACGUAUAGGGGUUUCUUGGAGGAGCUUCAGAAUACUAAUCAUCGCUAGUGAGGGCACUUGGACACUUUGCUUAACUUCAGCCAGCACCUCUUUUCCCAGCUGUAAAAUGGUAUGAUAAUAAGCACCCCUAGGAAUCUCAAGGAUGUUACGAGGGAAAAAUAUGCAAUAAUAUACAAAGCACUUUGAGCUUCUCUGAAGACAGACGCAUAUAAAU